rnacentral:rRNA from 1 species
AUUGAACGCUGGCGGCAGGCCUAACACAUGCAAGUCGAACGGUAGCACAGAGAGCUUGCUCUCGGGUGACGAGUGGCGGACGGGUGAGUAACGUCUGGGAAACUGCCCGAUGGAGGGGGAUAACUACUGGAAACGGUAGCUAAUACCGCAUAACGUCGCAAGACCAAAGCGGGGGACCUUCGGGCCUCACACCAUCGGAUGUGCCCAGAUGGGAUUAGCUAGUAGGUGGGGUAAUGGCUCACCUAGGCGACGAUCCCUAGCUGGUCUGAGAGGAGGACCAGCCACACUGGAACUGAGACACGGUCCAGACUCCUACGGGAGGCAGCAGUGGGGAAUAUUGCACAAUGGGCGCAAGCCUGAUGCAGCCAUGCCGCGUGUAUGAAGAAGGCCUUCGGGUUGUAAAGUACUUUCAGCGGGGAGGAAGGCGGUGGAGUUAAUAACUUCACCGAUUGACGUUACCCGCAGAAGAAGCACCGGCUAACUCCGUGCCAGCAGCCGCCGCCG